UUUAGGUUAGCUUCGUGCCUUAGUAUCUCCGGCCCACUGGGGUGUCUGCGGCCUUGAGAUUGGCGGGCUCCUAGUGCAUCUGGCCAGUCCCCCCCUGGGGACACGCCCUUCAAGCUUAGCAGGAUGGGCGAGGGGAAGCCCACGCUGUGCCAUCUGUCUGUGUGGAGUGCUACAAGCCCGCAGCCACGUGUAACCUCGCAGGCUUGACCCGCAGCCUGCUGUGGCAGCUGGGGUCAAGAGCCCAGGAUCUGUCUGGCGAUGCUGCCUGCCCGCCGUGGACGGAAGGCUGGCCCUGCCCACCUCCUGGAGACCUGGGUUCCUGGCCAAGGUUGCUUGCUGAGAUGACCACCUGGUGACUUCAGGCACCUGGCAGAGUGUGGCACGGCUCACCGCUCCAUGAGCCCCCGGCUCUGGCCACCUGGACUUGACCCCGGCACCCUCACUCCAGUGACCACCAGCGACCCUGGGCCUGGCUAGUGCCACGGCUCCCACACCCCACCUGUCUUCGCUCUGCCCGGCCCUGCGUGCCACUGGUGAGAUGCAAACCCAGCACCAAUGUCUAAAUGUUCCUCGUUCUCACACCAAA